AGGACCGCCUUGGAGGAGGAGAGAGAGAAGGCUGAGGUCGAAAUCUCCAGACUGAGGGCGCAGGUUUUCGAAUUGAAGGCGCAGGUUUUCGAGCUGAAGGUGCAGAUUUUCGAGCUGAAGGUGCGGAUUUUCGAGCUGAAGGUGCGGAUUUCGUCUCUGAUUUCGGAGACAGGGGCCCGAGCGGUGGAGGAGUUCAAAGCCUCCUCCGAGAUGGAGGAUCUAAAGGUCCAGUUCGGCCAGGAUGCCUUCAUCAAGAAUUUCGAACUCUGUCAAGAGAAG
rnacentral:lncRNA from 1 species